rnacentral:rRNA from 1 species
UACGUAGGGCGCAAGCGUUGUCCGGAAUUAUUGGGCGUAAAGAGCUCGUAGGCUGCCAGUUGCGUCUGCUGUGAAAUCCCGGGGCUCAACCCCGGGCGUGCAGUGGAUACGGGCUGGCUAGAGGCAGGCAGGGGAGAACGGAAUUCCCGGUGUAGCGGUGAAAUGCGCAGAUAUCGGGAGGAACACCGGUGGCGAAGGCGGUUCUCUGGGCCUGUACUGACGCUGAGGAGCGAAAGCGUGGGGAGCGAACAGG